AUUGAACGCUGGCGGCAUGCCUUACACAUGCAAGUCGAACGGUAACAGGUCUUCGGAUGCUGACGAGUGGCGAACGGGUGAGUAAUACAUCGGAACGUGCCCGAUCGUGGGGGAUAACUACUCGAAAGAGUAGCUAAUACCGCAUACGAUCUACGGAUGAAAGCGGGGGAUCUUCGGACCUCGUGCGGACGGAGCGGCCGAUGGCAGAUUAGGUAGUUGGUGGGAUAAAAGCUUACCAAGCCGACGAUCUGUAGCUGGUCUGAGAGGACGACCAGCCACACUGGGACUGAGACACGGCCCAGACUCCUACGGGAGGCAGCAGUGGGGAAUUUUGGACAAUGGGCGAAAGCCUGAUCCAGCAAUGCCGCGUGCAGGAUGAAGGCCUUCGGGUUGUAAACUGCUUUUGUACGGAACGAAAAGACUCCUUCUAAUACAGGGGGGCCAUGACGGUACCGUAAGAAUAAGCACCGGCUAACUACGUGCCAGCAGCCGCCGUAAGAC
rnacentral:rRNA from 1 species